GGGGUUGUGGCUCAGUGGUAGAGUUCUUGCCUAGCAUGCAUGAGGCACUGGGUUCCAUUCUCAGCACCA
rnacentral:tRNA from 1 species